UACGGAGGGAGCUAGCGUUGUUCGGAAUUACUGGGCGUAAAGGGCGCGUAGGCGGCCUGCUAAGUCGAACGUGAAAUCCCCGGGCUCAACCCGGGAACUGCGUCCGAUACUGACAGGCUUGAAUCCGGGAGAGGGAUGCGGAAUUCCAGGUGUAGCGGUGAAAUGCGUAGAUAUCUGGAGGAACACCGGUGGCGAAGGCGGCAUCCUGGACCGGCAUUGACGCUGAGGCGCGAAAGCCAGGGGAGCAAACGGG
rnacentral:rRNA from 1 species